rnacentral:rRNA from 1 species
UACGGAGGGUGCAAGCGUUUAUCCGGAUUCACUGGGUUUAAAGGGUGCGUAGGUGGCUUUGUAAGUCAGUGGUGAAAUGCCGCAGCUCAACUGCGGAACUGCCACUGAUACUGCUUAGCUUGAAUCACGUCGAGGUGGAUGGAAUAUUACAUGUAGCGGUGAAAUGCUUAGAUAUGUAAUAGAACACCGAUUGCGAAGGCAGUUCACUAGGCGUGUAUUGACACUGAGGCACGAAAGCGUGGGGGAUCAAACAGG